rnacentral:rRNA from 1 species
CAGCACCUCAAGUGGUCAGGAUGAUUAUUGGGCCUAAAGCAUCCGUAGCCGGCGCUGUAAGUUUUCGGUUAAAUCUGUACGCUCAACGUACAGGCUGCCGGGAAUACUGCAGCGCUAGGGAGUGGGAGAGGUAGACGGUACUCGGUAGGAAGGGGUAAAAUCCUUUGAUCUAUUGAUGACCACCUGUGGCGAAGGCGGUCUACCAGAACACGUCCGACGGUGAGGGACGAAGCCCUGGGGCACAAACCGGAUUAGAUACCCGAGUAGUCC